rnacentral:rRNA from 1 species
GACGAACGCUGGCGGCGUGCUUAACACAUGCAAGUCGAACGGAAAGGCCCUGCUUUUGUGGGGUGCUCGAGUGGCGAAAGGGUGAGUAACACGUGAGUAACCUGCCCUUGACUUUGGGAUAACUUCAGGAAGCUGGGGCUAAUACCGGAUAGGAGCUCCUGCUGCAUGGUGGGGGUUGGAAAGUUUCGGCGGUUGGGGAUGGACUCGCGGCUUAUCAGCUUGUUGGUGGGGUAGUGGCUUACCAAGGCUUUGACGGGUAGCCGGCCUGAGAGGGUGACCGGCCACAUUGGGACUGAGAUACGGCCCAGACUCCUACGGGAGGCAGCAGUGGGGAAUAUUGCACAAUGGGCGGAAGCCUGAUGCAGCAACGCCGCGUGCGGGAUGACGGCCUUCGGGUUGUAAACCGCUUUCGCCUGUGACGAAGCGUGAGUGACGGUAAUGGGUAAAGAAGCACCGGCUAACUACGUG